ACCCGCUGAACUUAAGCAUAUCAGUAAGCGGAGGAAAAGAAACUAACUAGGAUUCCCCGAGUAGCGGCGAGCGAAAGGGGAGAAGCCCAGCGCCGAAGCGCGCGGCCCCUGGCCGCAGCGCAAUGUGGCGUUUCGGCGGCGACUCGCGGCGGCCGUCCUGGCACGCGUACCUCUGAAUGGGUCUGCCCGCAGCGGGUGUCAGGCCUCUAGGUGCCGAGCGGACGGUCGUGGCAUGUCGUCGUCGCGGAGUCGGGUUGCUUGAGAGUGCAGCCCAAAGUGGGUGGUAAGCUCCAUCUAAGGCUAAAUACCUAGUGCGAGACCGAUAGCAAACAAGUACCGUGAGGGAAAGUUGCAAAGAACUUUGAAAAGAGAGUUCAAGAGUACGUGAAACCGUUCAGAGGCAAACGGACGGAACUGGGCGAGUUCGCCGUCGUCAUUCAGCCGGCGCGUCUUCGGGCGCGACGGUGCACUUGGCGGCGGCGGAGCACGACGACCGCCUGUCGAGUCGUCAGAAGCUCGGCGGCAAGGUGGCGACGCGCUCGCGCGUCGUGUUACAGGCCGCCGCGGCGUUGGCAGACUUGGCGGGCGAGGAGCGCCUGCGGUGCCCUCCCGCGAGGGAGCGGCCCGCGCUGGCUGGCUGCGGGGCCGCCGGCGGCGAACUGCUCGCAGCUCGUCGUUUGAGCGCGCCUCUUGUCUGGCCGCGCGGUGCCGCGGGCACCCGGGGUCCGGGUCGUGUGGUUCCUGGCACUCCGUCCGACCCGUCUUGAAACACGGACCAAGGAGUUGAGCACGUGCGCAAGUCGAUGGGCAUCAAGAACCCCAGUGGCGCAGCUAAGGCAAAACGGGCGUGAUCCGGCACUGGCGUGUCGGCGCAACGCCGGCCCUCGGCCGACUCGCUGCGAGUGGCCGAGGCGCAAGAGCGUGCGUGCUCAGACCCGAAAGGUGGUGAACUAUGCUUGAGCAGGGCGAAGCCAGAGGAAACUCUGGUGGAGGCUCGCAGCGAUCCUGACGUGCAAAUCGGUCGUCAAACUUGAGCAUAGGGGCGAAAGACUAAUCGAACCACCUAGUAGCUGGUUCCCUCCGAAGUUUCCCUCAGGAUAGCUGGCACUCGAGAUAAAUGGUUUUAUCCGGUAAAGCGAAUGAUUAGAGGCAUUGGGGACGAAACGUCCUCAACCUAUUCUCAAACUUUAAAUGGGUAAGAGGCGCGACCCUUCCUGAUCGGGGUCGCGUGCUUGAACAGAGAGUGCCCAGUGGGCCGUUUUUGGUAAGCAGAACUGGCGCUGUGGGAUGAACCAAACGUGCGGUUAGGGUGCCUAACGCACGCUCAUGAGACACCACAAAAGGUGUUGGUUGAUAUAGACAGCAGGACGGUGGCCAUGGAAGUCGGAAUCCGCUAAGGAGUGUGUAACAACUCACCUGCCGAAUCAACUAGCCCUGAAAAUGGAUGGCGCUGGAGCGUGCGACCCAUACCGCACCGUCGGGGCAAUGCGUGCGAAAUGCCAGGCCCCGACGAGUAGGAGGGCGCGUUGGUGGCGUUGAAGCGUGGUGCGUGGGCACGCGUGGAGCCGCUUUCGGUGCAGAUCUUGGUGGUAGUAGCAAGUAUACAAAUGAGAACUUUGUAGACCGAAGUGGAGAAGGGUUCCAUGUGAACAGCAGUUGGACAUGGGUCAGUCGGCCCUAAGAGAUCGGAGAACUCCGUUCUGAACGGGGAGACAGUGGAGCGGGGCUGUAGCGGGCAGAGUGCCGUGAACGUUGAGCCCGGCGGGAAAACAGAGGUGAGGGCGAGAGCUGCAAAAUCCACACAGAGCGGGGUCGCGCCGUGCCGGCGACCGGACUGUGGGCGCGCGUGCGCCGUCAAAACUGGGUGUACAGGAAUUGACGGAAUGCGCGGCGCUGCGCGUCCGGCCGGCCGCCGGCUGCCACUGCCGAGAGAGCGUGCGCGCGCGCUUCCCUGUCGUAGCGGGGACUAGCGCGCGCCUCGCUUCCCUGUCGUAGCGGGGAAGCUUCGCGCUCUUCGAGGCGGUAGGCGGCGGCGCGACCACUUGGCCGCCAACCAGCAGCAUACGCUCUCUAUUGAACGAGCCUCCCCGCCGUCAGGUCGCAGAACCUUUGUCACCCAGGCUAUUUGUCACGGUGCGCAGUAAAGCUGGCGAGAGCCCCGCCAGAGUGAGCUGAUCCCCGAUGCGAUCGAAAGGGAAUCGGGUUAAUAUUCCCGAACCUGGCAGUGGAGAUUGGGCCCUCGGGCCCCAGUGCGGUAACGCAACCGAACUCGGAGACGCCAGCGUCGAUCCCGGGAAGAGUUCUCUUUUCUUUGUUAGGAGCGGACUCCCUGGAAUUGGCUUGUCCAGAGAUAGGGACGUUGCAUCCGUAAAGCGUCGCGCCUCACGCGGCGUCCGGUGCAUCGGCGCUGGCCCUUGAAAAUCCGAGGAAGGCAGUGUAAUUUUCACUCCAGGCCGUACCCGAAUCCGCAGCAGGUCUCCAAGGUGAACAGCCUCUGGUC
rnacentral:rRNA from 1 species